GAUUUAGGUGAGUUGGGGAAACACAUGUGGCCUGGGGCAGGAUAUCUAUUUCUCUGAGGACCUGAGGGGUCUCCUGGGUGAGAUGAUGAGUGUCUGCAUCAUGACUAGUGGAUAUUCUUGAUUUUUCAGUAGCUCAGCUCCUCCAAAUAGGGUCUCUGUACCUCUGAUGCUGCCAUUGACUUGUACCUUCCUUUCUGGCUGCACCAAUAAGGGUAACACAGUCCCUGGUCCUAUACCCUGAAUGUUCUCAGCCUCCUAGCCCCCAUCCAUUGCCCUGACCUGAGCUGCAAGCCUGGACACCUGGGUCUAGUUCUUGUCCCUCUAUCUCCCAAGCUGCUCAGAAAGGAGAUGGAACAUCCCCUGAGUUCCAUACAGAGGAACUGAGUAAACCUUAACAGCUACAAUUCCUUGGAUUGAACUGCAUACAAUUCCAAGUGCACAAAGGCAUCCUUGUUCAGGAAAUCUUCUGGAGUGGCACACGCUCAGAUCCACAGCUGGAAGACUCUCUGAUGCCUGUCAGAAUGAAACCCUUGUGAAUGAGGAGACAGCUUAGCCUGGCUUUCUGAUGCUCCCGGCUUCCUGUCAGACCCCUUCCCUCAAGCAGAGAGGGAGCCCUCCCUGUUCCUCAGGGAUUUGCUCCAGACACCCACAGGUCAAUGGGAGGUCCAGAAAUCUGCCAGGCAGUGACAGGACAAAGCGACGCUGACAGCUUGGUGGAGCUCAUUGUAGCGGAGAUGUGAGCUGACUGGAGCUGGCUUGCUGCUGAUGUGCCCUGCGUGUUUACCUACACACCACAAAGGAAGCAGGUUUAACUCUUCACGGAGCCUCUCUCCAACUUAGCUCUGAUUGUUCAUUUAUUCAUUCGUUUGUUUAAUCAGUUGCUCAAGAAUUUAAAAAUACUUAUUAUGUGGCAGGCACUAAGAUUAGUACUGGAAACACUGGUAUAAAUAAGACUCCUUCUGUCUUUGAGAAACUCAUGUUCUAAAUACACAACAGAUCACAAAACAGGGUACAAAAUGCCGCAGUGGAAGCGAGCAUUAGCCAGGCUCAGUGGUUCAUACCUGUAAUCCCAGCACUUCGGGAGGCCGAGAUGGGUGGAUCACUUGAACCCAGGAGUUUCAGACCAGCCUGGGCAACCCCAUCUAUACAAAAAAUGCAAAAACUAGCUGGGCAUGGCAGUGUGCACCGGUAGUCAGUCCAGCUACUUGGGAGGCUGAGGUGAGAGGAGCUCAGGUCCAGCUACUUGAGCUCAGGAGGCAGAAGCUGCAAUAAGUGAGAUCGCACCACUGCACUCCAGCCAUGGCAACAGAGUAAGACCUUGCCUAAAAAAAAAAAAGAUGGACAUUAAGUAUUCUGAGAACACAGAAUAAGAAGGGGGCAAUUUUGCCUGAUAGGGGAUAAUAGGUCAGGGAAGGCUUCCCUGAAAAAGGGACAUAAUAAUCUUGAAGAAAUGGUCAUAAAAUCAUGUGUUGAAUAAAGCAGUUUUGGUUUCAAGUAACAGAAACUAACUGGUUGGUUAAAAACAGAAGGAGUUAUUGGGAGGAUCCUGGUUGUUUCAGAGAAUCCAAGAAAGAGAUGAGCAAGUACAUCUCAAGAGCUGCAAGAAGUCAAAAGCUCUGUAGAGCUUAUG